GAGCAUCAGCCAGGGCCAGUCCCUGCCGUGGUCGUGCUGCGGGCCGGCCGCCUACCCUGACGGCUGCAGCAUCAGUACAGCAUACACUCAGAGCUGCCACGAAACCAUCUCCCACUGGAUACACAAGUACCAAACGGUGAUCUACUCCUCUCUGGCGGCGCUGCAUAUCAUACUGUCGUCCUGCUCGCUCCUGCGGCGGGCGCGCGGCGUGCCGUCCCUCUCGCACAGCUAGCGAGCGCAGCGCCGGCGCAGUGGCGGCGGCGCUACCAUCACUCCUACAUCAAAACCAAGCAAGCCACACGCAGCGUGGGAGAGAGAGGAUGGGAGAGAGAGGGAGAUGGAGAGAGGCCCGCCGUCUUGGGUGAUUCCCUCGCGAGUCGCUCCCGGGGACGACGUGCUCAUGUUCGUGGUCGGAAGAGCUCGGGUAGAAUAGUGUGAGCUGCGACUAAAAUACUGAACUGCGACGAAAUUUGUGACUAAAGUACUAGAGUGCGACCAAUAUUAUAUUAUUAUGCUCAAUUUUCGACUAAAUACUAAAACAAACAUAAACGCAGAGCCUAAUGACCAGAAAUCGAAAGUUUAGUAUUUUUAACUUAGGAUUUUCUAAUCGUCUGUAAUAGG